rnacentral:rRNA from 1 species
GAUGAACGCUGGCGGCGUGCCUAAUACAUGCCAGUCGAGCGAACAGACGAUGAGCUUGCUCCUCUGACGUUAGCGGCGGACGGGUGAGUAACACGUGGAUAACCUACCUAUAAGACUGGGAUAACUUCGGGAAACCGGAGCUAAUACCGGAUAAUAUAUUGAACCGCAUGAUUCAAUAGUGAAAGACGGUUUUGCUGUCACUUAUAGAUGGAUCCGCGCCGCAUUAGCUAGUUGGUAAGGUAACGGCUUACCAAGGCGACGAUGCGUAGCCGACCUGAGAGGAUGAUCGGCCACACUGGAACUGAGACACGGUCCAGACUCCUACGGGAGGCAGCAGUAGGGAAUCUUCCGCAAUGGGCGAAAGCCUGACGGAGCAACGCCGCGUGAGUGAUGAAGGUCUUCGGAUCGUAAAGCUCUGUUAUUAGGGAAGAACAACUGUGUAAGUAAAUAUGCACGUCUUGACGGUACCUAAUCAGAAAGCCACGGCUAACUACGUG